UUCGGCGCCAUUCUCGUUCAGCUUAGGGAUGAAGUCGCCAGUAUUGGUGUACUCGGUUGUAACGCCCUCGAUGUGGCUAUAUCUCCCACGUGUCGAAGCACGACUUAGAGGCAUAACCGCAUUGAAAGCAUAUGUCGCAAGUGAGGUAAUCUUCACACAACCCAUGUAAUACAAUAGGGGAAAAGAGAUACAUAGUUUACUUACAAUCGCCACUUCACCCAAUUACAUGAAUAAAGCAUUACAUCAAUCAGAUACAAUCAAGGCCCGACUACGGAGCCAAAAUAAAAGAAGAACCCCAAAUGCGACAACAGGUCCCCGAUCAACCCCAACUGGGCUCCACUACUGAUCAACUAGAACGAAACACCACAAAGGACAAGAUCUGCAUCGAGCUCCUCCUGAGCUUGGUUGCGUCACCUGCUCGGUAACAUCGGCACCUGCAAACUGGUUUUGGAAGUAUUUGUGAGCCAUGGGGACUCAGCAAUCUCGCACCCUCGCGAUCAAGACUAUUUAAGCUUAUGGGUAAGGUAAAAGGUAUGAGGUGGAGCUGCAGCAAGCGACUAGCAUAUAUGGUGGCUAACAUACGCAAAUGGGAGCGAGAAGAGAAGGCAAAGCACGGUCGAUAAAAGUAUGAUCAAGAAGUCAUCCUAAAACAACCUACGUCAAGCAUAACUCCAACAACCGUGUUCACUUCCCGGACUCCGCCGGAAAGAGACCAUCACGGUUACACAUGCUGUUGAUUCAUUUUAAUUAAGGUCGACUUUAGGUUUUCUACAACCGGACGUUAACAAAUUCCCAUCUGCCCAUAAUCGCGGGCACGGCUUUCGAAAGUUCAAAUCCCUGCAGGGGUGUCCCAACUUAGCCCAUCACAAGCUCUCACGGUCAACGAAGGAAUAGACCUCCACCCGAGACAUUCUGAUCAGACUCGGUAUCCCGGUACAACAAGACAUUUCGACAGGGUAAAACUAAACCAGCAACACCGCCCGAAUGUGCCGACAAAUCCCGAUAGGAGCUGCACAUAUCUCUUUCUCGGGGCACACUCAGAUGAGCCAGACGUCGGGUAAGCCAGCCCAGAGUUGCCCCUGGUAGCCUCGGACAUCGCUCAGUUGGACCAACACUCAGAGGAGCACUGGCCCGGGGGGGGGGUAAAAUAAUGAUGACCCUUGGGCUGGCCGACCCAAGGGAAAGAAAAAGGCUAGGUGGCGAAUGGUAAAACCAAUGUUGGACAUUGCUGGAAGAGCUUUACUUAAGGCGAACUGUCAAGGGGUUCCCAUAAUAGCCCAACCGCGUAAGGGACACAAAAUCCGGGAACAUAACACCGAUAUGACGGAAACUAGGGCGGCAAGAGUGGAACACCAGGCAUAAGGCCGAGCCUUCCACCCUUUGCCAAGUAUAUAGGUGCAUUAAGAUAACAUGGCAAUAUAAUGAUACCCCAACAAGUAAAUAAAAGAUGUUCCAACAAGGAACGACCUCCAAUCUUCACCUACAACUAGCAACGCUAUAAGAGGGGCUGAGCAAAGCGGUAACAUAGCCAAUCAACAGUUUGCUAGGACAAUGGUGGGUUAGAGGUUUGACAUGGCAAUUUGGGAGGCUUGCAAGCAAGUGGUAGGCAUCGUAGCAAUGGCAUAGCAAAAGAGCGAGCAGACUAGCAUAGCAAAGAUAGUAGUGAUAUCGAGGGUAUGAUCAUCUUGCCUGAGAUCCCGCAAGGAAGAAGAACGAGUCCAUGAAGAAGACAAACGGACGUAGCCGAACGGGUCCUCACAAUCAUGAUGUUAUCGGAACCAACCCGAAGAAGCAACACCGGAAAGAAGCAAACAACAUGGUAAACAACCACCACAUAGACAUGGCAUGAUGCACAAUCAAGUAUGAUGCAUGUCCGGUUUAAUGAAGCAUGGCAUGACAAAGUGCACAAACAACCCUACAAGUUAAGUGGAGCUC
rnacentral:lncRNA from 1 species